rnacentral:lncRNA from 1 species
AGAACCUUUGCAGCGUGCACAACUGCUGUCUCCUGCCAGCUUUCUGAAUCCUUGCGUCUGUGCUGUACUUCUUACUCUGAACUACGUGACGCCUGAGAUGUAGCUAAGUCUUCCCAAGUCUCUUGGUAUGCAGAGGAAGGAGGAAGGUACUGAAGGUUAUACAACUAACACCUCUGUACUUAAUGCUGCUGAAAUUUGCUUUAAGGUCAUACACAACUGGAGGUCAAGAAAGCUGUUUCCAUAAGAAUUAGUUUCAACGCAGUGCAGCGCUGUCCACCUGUAGUAGUGUUGAAAAUAUGCAUUUAUGUGCUCUGAAGGCUGAGCUCUUCCACUUGCAGCGUUUCGCGGCCCGAUGCAUGCUUUGGAUAAAAGAGGUCUGUGUUUCUAGCUGCUGCUGCAGCCAUUACUGAGGGAAAAGCUGGCACUGUCAGGAUUAAAUAUGAGAAGUGGUGCCACAGUAUCACAUUAGAUGGAGUGUUUUACUUAUGCUUUCGUAAUUGAGCUACUGGCUGUUGCGUUAGUUAGAGAAAGCAACAGAGGAGCUUCAGGCUGAAUAUCCACCCUUGUCAGUCAGUUUCUCUUGCUCUUUUCUGCUUUUUGUUGUUGUUAUUUUUUAAACCUUUUGCUAUCAGCAUUCCUUUCAUAGUGCUGGUUCUGACCAGAGACCUCUGCAGCUGUGCAAUGAAUGCUGUUACGUUCAGCAGGAUCAAAGCAAGUUGCGUGUGCUGCCUUGUGCAUGCUGGGAUUGGUGGAUUCAGCUCCCGGCAGCUUGAAGCCAUUGCUCUGGAGGUGUAGGAGGGUACAGAACCAGCGUGCCCAUACAGCCACAGCACUGCUCCGGGAUCUGUGCAAGGAUCUCACUGCAGCAUUCUUCCUUUGGCAACACCAACGCUUGGCAGGUAAACCACACUUCAGAUGUACAAGCAAACAGCGCGUGUCUAUUAAAUUAAUGGAAAACUCAUUUUAUUUUAAACUCUGUAAAAGCUGUAAUUAUAAAUAUGACAAACUUAAAUGAACAUACAUCACUGGGGAGUACAGGUAAAUCAGCAAGUUUUUUUCCAGUUACUUUUCUGUUGGAAUCUUUACGUAUCCUGAUGUGUAAUGUGAUAGUAGCUGCCUUCAUGGGUAUAAAAAUAAGCCUCUGGUGUAUCAAAGUAUUUGUGAGCAGCGAGAAUGUAUAAAGCAACAGUUAACGUAGGAAUUCUUCUACUCUUUGGCAUUAUCACACAAAUUAAUAUGUCCUUGUUUGACUAAGCAAUGAAAACCUCUGUGGUUCUGUACGUAGAUUUAAUUGUAAGCAGCCAGUUGUUCCAACACCGUAUUGUCUGCAUGGUCAGCUGUGUAAUCACUGUACAAAACAGUUCAGUGAGACUUGCAGCAGCAAAGUAUGACUGAAACUCAAGACUCAUGAGGCAGAUGCAAGAGGAAGUGUUGUUACCAUUCAUCCAUGUACUGAAUUGCAGAAAGCCUUGGAAAACUGAUGGGUCUGACUACGAAGGACUCAUCCCAUGCAUUCCCAGCAUAACAACCAGAGAUGCAUGUGCUGGGGGGGGGGGGGUGGCUCAUCCUGAGUUACCAAAAGCAGCACACAGGGUCUUGUAUGGAGCUCUAAGGUAGGAUUUAAAACAAACAAAAACCCCAAACCAAAAUACAGAAAAGCUUUCUCAGUGUAUAAGCAUGGAGAACGUUAAAACUUCUGAAGAGGGUUCUCCAGUUGUCCCUCAGCACCAAUGACAGAAGUAAAAAUCAUCUAUUUGUUGUAAUCUUCCCUCAGUGAAUCAAAGAAAGUAUAAACGCUCUUAGAGCUCCUCCCAACAUCCAGCUUUCAUUGGUAUUUGGCUGCCUUGUUUUGCAGCUUGGACAGUUUUCAAUAGUCACAUACUGUACACUCAGAGUGAAGUAUGCUUGUUGGUAAAUUUAAUGAGGUUUUGUAUUUUCAUGUUUAAAAGGCAGAGAAGAGUUGAGGGUCAUAACUGUCAUGGUGGAAGUGAUGUGGGCAGUGUUCCCUUGCUCCACUCUGAGCUGUGGCUGUGCAGCUCUUUCAGUUCCCCUCCCUACAGCUGGAAGUUUUGCAGUACAACCUUUCCCAGCUUAACUCAGUAUCUAAUAUUCUGUCAUAGCAUUUUUUAAUCUCUAUGGUGUAAUCAUAGCAAUGAAGUAAGGGAAAGAAUAACAUAACCCGUGUCUUCAGCUGAGGCUGUGCUGUAAUUUAAGGAGCAGUUCACCCUCCACUCAUUUUUUUCAGAUUUGUGGAAAAAAAAAAAAAAGAGUUAUGUAUUUGGCAGAAGAGAUCAAAGGAAAAUACAGAUACUUAUGUGAACAAUUUCUCUAAGAAAAAAGGGGCAAGAAAAUACCAUAAGAGGAAUUUGUUACAAGCAGAAGGGGCAGAGACUGGAGCGUGUUACAAGAAUAUUUUCUAUUUCCUUGGAAACACUACACCUGAGCAUUCUGUAAACAGUGAUAUUCCACUGACCAUGUAGGUGCAGUAUUUGAAUAAGACUUAAUUAAAAGGGCAGCAAUACCAAACUUCAGUCCUGUCCCCUUACAGGCAUAAGCCCCAUCCACUGACUACUGUGUGUAACGUGUUGCUAAGAUACAGCAUUGGUGGAGCAUUGAGAAAGUAAGUACGUUCCUUGCUCUUGCUUCAGUACAAUAUGGAAGCUGAGCCUUAUAUGCUUGUUUCUUCCACCAUAAGCUUUGGCACCAGCAUGUGCUUGGAGGAGGAAGAAAUAAAUAAACAGAAAAAACUUACUCUAGACCAGAAUCCUAGUACAGAUGAGAACUUGAUUUUACUGUGGUCUACCAGCUUGAUCUUAACAGCUGGGGAGAAGUAAGAGCAGUUCUGGCAUCUGCCUUUUGUAAUUUUGAAAGUUCAGAUGUCAUAGGUGAUAAAAUACAUGCAGGACUGCUGCCCUGCUUUAACCUGAGCAAAACACAUAACACAGGGUUACAGGGAACACGUAAGCAAAUGAAGUUUAAAUUCAGUAGGGAGGAACGGUCCUUGGCACAACUGGCUGCACCCAGAAGCCCAGGACAGCUGCGAAGAACCUAAUAGGUUUUUGCUCAGCUUAUGCCCAUGCUGUUCUCUGUGCUGAUAUGCUGCAAAAGGUGGUACAUCACACUGAGAAAGCUCAGCACAAGGCCCACAUGGCCUCUGAGAGAACUGCAGUCCGAAAAGGUGUGUGUGUGUGUGUGUGUGUACUCACUGUCCUUUGAAAGCCAGACGUUCACUAACCAGCUGCCUGAUGGUGGAGAUGAAGUAGAAAGGAGCUCCGACUAUCUGGAGAGGGCCAAGAGACUUCUGCAGGAGUAAUUUUACCCCCAGGUAUUUCUGGUUCUUCUGUAGCACAUGCUGAGUUUCCUAACAAACAAGUGGCACCUGUGCUCUGAAAAUGCCACCUUUUUGCUUGAAAACUUGACAAACAGGAAGGGCAAAGAGCUUCCUGUGGUGGCUUUAAAAGCACCCUUUUGUCACAGGCAGUUCUGUCAUUCAAGGAAAAAACAACCAGCAACAUUAAGAUCAGUUAGUAUUUGAAUUAAGAAGGAAAGAAACUCAGUUAUCGUUAAUCCUCUUCAGCUAUUCUGUGUGUGUAUAUCUUAUAGGAAUGCAGGCAAUAGCCUUCUAACAAUGUUUUUCCUGGAGUCAUCCCAAUUCCACUGCUUUCUUAAGAACUUUAACCGUGUUCCUACUGCUGCCACUGGCCAACUGCUACACUUUUUCAUCAGUUUCAAUUUAGAAGCAAAAGGUACCUUCCAGAACAGAGAUCUUCAAUACCAGGAGCAGCAAGCCCCCUUCUAGCAGCUGCAGUUCAGGAAGGGAGGAGGCUUAAAUGAUCCUUCUCCUAUGAGCCAAACACUUGUAAAAGUAACAAGGAUAAAACAUUGCUUUGCUAGAGUGCCAAUAGUGGGUAGUUCACUCUCCCAGCAGCACCAGCAAAUGAGGCUACUUCAGUUGGUACAGAGAAUCUUCUGGCACACCUUUGGAUGAAAACCUUUUCCCCUCUGCCAAGUGAAGGGCAUGCUCUGCUCACUGCUGGUGGUUACCCUCCCCAUCUCAAUGCUGAUCCCCAUCUGGUGGUGGGGUCUGGCAGCUUGCAGUAAGAAAGCCAUAUCUGCCUUGUGCUAUGAUGCGUACUAAAGUAACACAAAAUUAUUGUUCAGAUAGUAAGAGUGAAUCCUUUGCUUUUUUUAGAAGUAGCUAAAGCUGAGGUCUUCCUUAUCUUUUACUCCUGUGUACAUACUUGAGAUAAGCUGAACAUGAUUAGUGGCAGUCUGGAAUAUGUGCUUAGCAGCUAUGAACUCACAUUUAAACGUGAGAAGUGCUUCAAUGCUGUAAACAGUCGAGGCAGCAGUAUAAAUGGCAAUUACUACAUAGUUGGGCCUGAGAAUGAAUAAGCAGAAUACACAAGGAUAUUUUUCUUACAUUUUUACAUUUCAGAAUAAAAUCUUCUACCCCUAGACCUGUACUUUAGGAGGAGAGAAUUUCAGUGUUAGUUUUUCUCUGAACUCACUAGAUUUUGAUUUGAACUGUAGAAAAACUGCAGCAAAUUAUGUUCUUCCAGUUUGUCUGAAUAUAGCACUUUAGCUUGUUCACAGGCCUGCUGAACAGUGCUCAUGCCAAUACUAUAGCAGCAAAAACCACAUCUAAUUUUCUGUCACGAUCAACUGCCAAAUUGGUGACUGUGUUCUUGGCUAUAACUUAGAAUGCGAUUUUAUUUUAUGCAUAUCUGUAGUAAGUUAUUCACCUUUCUGAGGCUGCAGGGCAGUUCAGGAGUACGUCCUUAAACAGCCAUGCAUCAGUCUGUCUCCUCACUGAAGCUGCGAUACCCUAAGAGGAGAAGUGCUAUUAAAAUCUAAGAAAAAAGGGCCCUCUUGUUGAGGCAGGAAGGUGGUGGGGAUAAUGUUGUAGACUCCGGCGAGGAUGUUCUCCACUUCCAGGUAGCAAAAUCCACACCUAUGAUAAAAGAAGCGAUUUCUUACAACCAAGGUCUGAAAUGUUUCAAGCAGUGAAGAUUCCAUUGAAUCAACUAUUUAUUACCUGUAGUCCCCACUGCUCUUCUUCUGAAAGCCAUAGGAACCAGGAUCUCCUACUGUUGAGACAGUGACAAUUUCAAACCCAACGCUGUACUGCCUGCAAGCCAAGUGACAGACCAUUACUUUAAUUGUGGGGGGAAUCGGGGCUAGCAGGAGGAGAGUAAGUUUAUGAAAACUGUAUAGCUGGAAUACAUUUAGGUUUUGUCACAUUUGUGACAGAAAUGUCAGAGAAGCUUACCGUGACAUGAAUGUGCAGAUUGGAGGAAGAUGCAUUUUGGUUUCAGAACUCUAUCUGGUAAAUGUCUGCUAGCUUUCUGCCUCUGCACCAAAGCAGAGCCCAAGUGGUUAAACUUGCAGUGAGAUGCUCCUGGGCUGAGCAGCACAGGUUUUGGGCUGUAAUCUGAUCACCAUCAGAGGAACGUGAAUGUUGGUGAUCUCAGCACAAUUCUCAUGUUUCACUGCAACCUGGGACAAUUUGUCUACUACCUCUUCAUGAAUGUGGCAGGCACUGCUGGCUCUGUCAGUCAAACUACUCUAGUAUGACCUACUAAUGCAGAAAAUGCAAACAGAAAAGGAAUACCAGAAGUGAGAAAGUGCUUCCUCUUACCCUUUAUUAGGUAUCAUAAAGAAUACUGACACAUACUGCAAAGGGGUUUGAGAGGAUCAUACCACUUGAACCACGUUUUAAGUUAGACCUGUUUUAUAUUCUACUUUCUUGAAUAUCCCCUCCAAAACCUGGCCCUCCUGAGCCCUCUCCAGAGCUGAGAUGCACUAAUUUAAUAAAGGUCCACUCUACCACAGUAACAGCUGAGAGCCCAUAAGUAUUACUCGCAACUCUGGGAAGAAGCUUUCACUAUGAAAGACACUUCAUAGGGCACUAACAUCCAAUUCUUCCUUCUGAUCUGCCAGUCACAGAGUAGGUGCAUUGUCAGAGCUGAAACUACUGCACAGGCUGUUAUUUAAGAACCUGUAAGUGUUUAGCAUCCUGCAUAUUAGCUCCACUACAAAAGAAAAGGUAGCAUGACUGUAACAGAUUUUGAGGAAAUUAAUUUCAUGAUGCUCACACUCCAUAACUAAUAUAAAAGAAGGCUCCUGCUUCCCUCAUCAAGGAUCCUUGUCAAGUACUUCCUCAGUAGCAAGCAUGCAGAUUUAAAUCACUAUUGAUGGCAACGUUAGAAACAAACAGCGCUAUACCUGCUUAAUAUAAAGCUUAAUAUAGCUGCUUCCCCUAUCUUAUCUCUGGCUUUUCCAGGAUCUUCUCACCCCUCCCUUGGAGGACUGACAAUUUAUCCUUAGCGCGUGAUACUCUCAGUGUACAGAAGCAUGUAUGACAUACCUUGGUCCACGCAGUUCAAUUAGUAAUGGCCCACUCUUGUCCAGUUGGAAUUGAUAGAUGGGGUUAUUUUUGUAGCUGUCUCUGAAGUUCCCACAUCCUCCAGCACUGUGACCUUUCCAUUGUCCGUUAACCUAAGAAGUCAGAAAUACAGAAAAUAUUUUAUAUCCUGAGAAUUUGUGUAUAGAUAAGCAAUGCAAGGCUUGAAGCACCUCUCACUUCAGUUGUCACUGACUACAGUAAUCUUGGAAUCCUUAAAGAGUAAGUGACAGUCAGAACGUGAUGGUAUUCAGCAAGUUUAACUACCUGACUCAAAGCUUUAGAUCCCUUAUGAAGGUAAUAUUAUUCAGCUCACAAAUACCAGGUAGCUGCUUCUGACUAUAAAAGAUCGCAUCUGAUGAAGGAUCUCUAUUCCCAUCUAUCCUGGAGCUGCUCAACUGUGCAGGUUUUUUUUGCUGCUGUUUUCCCUGACAAAACCAAAACAACAACAAACCUUUGUUGUGCUAAAUGAGAAACAAAAAACAGCAUAAGUACAACACUACUGGUGUUGUAGCCUUUGCUUUGGGAAUCUCUCCCUCCAGCACUGCCCAUUCACCACUGUGCACUCUGAGAAGCAGCACUACUGAGACAAAGAUAGCCAUAAGGACAGGCUCCAAAAGGACAAAGAAAUACAAGAGACAGAACGUUGCUCAGAUUUUAAGAAACGGGCCAUCUGUUUGCAAGUUCCUCCUGCUAGUCAUUAAAUGAAACUUCUAAAACAUGCCAGGCAUUCACAAAGUUAUAGCUGAGCUGCAGUCCCUAUAUGUUACUUCCCUCCCCUCUCUGUCAAACCUGUGGUUUAGUUUCUCUACUCAGUGUCCAAAACCCUCAAAUGUGACAAGUCAGGAAAGUAAGGGGGGUUUCUUCCCCCACCACACAACCUGAGGCUGCUGUGAAUUUCCAGGCCUUUUCUACCUCAACUGUGCUUUCCUCCAGGAAUCCCACUGCAGCUGGGUUAGCACAACAGAUGACCACCCAACUUCGCUACAAGCCAUCUCAACAAUGCUUUCUUUGACUGGCAAAUUGUGAAUUACUUAUCUGCUUGUCUUUAAAUGCAGUGACUGCAAUACAGUUACCAAACAAGAAUUAAGCAGGCAACUAGCCUUCUGUAUUUAAUCAUUUAGACAGAGCUAGUUAUGGACAGAUAAAACAUGCCUUUUAUUUGAAUAGUAGACAGACAUCUUCAAAUAGUUAACAGGAGGCUUCCACGUACUUAAUUCUCUUUUGAAACUAACACAGUGUAAAACAGAUGACAUGUCUUAAGCAGGCAUGUCAUCUUCGGUGCAUUUUUCACUUCUUAAACCAUUCUGCCAAACUAAGCUUAGUUUUUUAGAGCUAAGUGGAAACAGUGGUUUCUGGAACAAUUGAGGAUACGGUCACAUUGUUCCCAGGAAUCUCUCUGGCUACUUACUGUGCUCCUGAGCUGGUGAGAUUCAAGGACAGUAAGAACAGCAGCACAUGGCCUCCAGACCACCUGGGCUUCUCACUUAUUUUAGCCAAGCAUUUGCUCUUACCACCUGGUGCUGCUCUACUCUCAGGGAGCAUUUCUAUAUGAAAUACACCAUCUGUGUACUGUCUUAUUCCUAUCUGACAGCGUGAGUGCUUAUCCCAGUGAUAACAGACCUUUGAGAUUUCUUAGUAACUUUAAGACCUGUAAGGUAUUGUGACCAUCAUAAGUAAGAAGUCCAUUUGUCACAGUAUCAGUAGUGGUGCCUUUGCUUUGCCACUGCUGCUUAUGCCCUGUGGUGCCAAGAAUUUUAGAAGACAAUAAUGCACUUCCUCAAAAGUGAGCAACACUCUGCACACUCAUUACAUAUUAGGGGAGAGGUUGUUACUCCAAAGGUUCCACAAAAGAUUUUGUAUCUGCACCAGUACAGCUGUAAUACUCUUAUGAUGAAGAUAGAGCCUAUAUACUGAAUAGGACUUUCAUGCUGCUAAAAGUUACGCCACUAUCCUUACUAGUAAAAAGAGUUAGCCAGCUACCAAAGGCUUUUUUAUUAUGAACAAUGCUUAAAGCAGCUAAUUGUUCGGCAAGUUAUAUGCAACCUAAGCACAGGGUUGAUCUUGCACUAGGUAUGCUAGAUUAAGCUCUAGUUGACCUCCUUAAUUAAAGAAGUUCGGUUUUUUAGAAGACAGCCUGAGCUGGCAUUUCUGGACAUUAGUGGAAAGUUAUGUUUAGAAACCAUAUACAUCUCAAACAUAGAAAGACCACAGCAGAAUAAUUACUUAGUAACUCAUAAAAAAAUUCUUUACCCGUUUGGAAAUGGUGUAAGGUGUAGGGAUCUUGGAAAAGGUAAACUUGCACAAGGAGUACACCUGUGUGGUAAAAGCAGACGUUGGUCAUACGUUCAUCUGGCAUUUCUCAAGACAUAUUAAAAGAAAAAACAAAAAGCAGAACUACCUACAAAUAUUUUUUUAGAUACUUGCUAUAUUUACAUGCUUUAAAAACAACCACAAAGGAAAUACAGCCUUAGUACUUGGGCUCCAGUGACUUCUUUCUGUCUUACCUAUCUCUUAUCAGAAGGCAUUUCAGAGGACAAGGAAAGGUAAUGCCUGAUGGCAAAAGGAGUUCCCCACCACCACUGUAUUGUAUUGACACCCUAUAUUGUCUCAGCUGCAAUGGAGAAUAUUAUCAAGCAGGUGAUCCAGUGAUUCUGCUCCAUCAUUCACAGCCUCCCUCCCCUAAGUAACAUGGGCCCAGAAGUGUGCUCAUUCAUCACAUUGACAAAUAAAGGACACUGUGCAUAUUUAUUUACAUUUGUUAUGAAAUCAACAGUACAUACCCUGAUGGUGUAAUGGAUAGUGUUUUGUUUCUCAUACUGAGACACCACUAAUGUGAACGUAUGCGUUCCUGGAGAGGUCAGCUUUAUCUUGGUCAGAUAAUGAGGACUGUUGAUCCGAAUGCCAUCGAUAUAUGGAACAGGAUCAGCUGAAAAAGAAAAGAAUGAACACUUCUCCCAGUCAGAAACCUCCCAGCCAUUUAUAAUCAGUGAAUUCUGCCCAGAAAGUCAGACUGUUGGUACUAUCCUUAGACUACAAGCAGACUUGAGUGCUUUCAGAAGAAAAGAGCCUGAAGAUUUGCUCAUAGAAAGCACGGACAGGUAAGAGCAACUAUCAUUUUCUAAGAUGUACAUCACACGACAGGACAAAUUCUGCACUUGAAAGUACAGCCUAAAUGACUUGAGAGAACUACUUGUCCAGCUCUCACCGACGUCUCUGUUCAAAGGAGUCCUACUAUGAUUAUGUUGAAAUUUAUAGAAAAAGAUAAGGAAUGUUUGAGCACUCCAUAAAAUUCAAUGAGAAGUCUGCUAGAGAAGCUCCCUUCUCUGUUGAUAGGGCAGCUGCAGUUGGUAGACAAGACUUUGCAAUAUGUUCGUGUCUUUGAGAAACAAAAACACAUCUCCAUCUCUCUCCCUCUCUCUUACGAUCACUACACAAUACAAAUCCAGUAUUCAUUAUAAGCAUCCCAAACAUUUUCCUUUUACAAUUACACAAUACGAUUUGUUAUCUGGUCUCUAAUUGGUUACUUCCAGAAUUCUUUUAAUUUUAGUGAAGCAGAAACAAAUCUAGCCAAUUACUUCAAUAGACCCAGGAUCAGGUCCUUUGUUUUCUUCCACAAAGCAAAUGAUUAAUAUAAAACAACCAGAAGCUUAGGAAUGGGAAAUCCCUGAAUCAGUGCCAAAGGAUUAACCUGUUUUCUUCUGAUCUCAUUUUAACAGAUGGUAAAAAUAACACUGUAGCUUGACCAAUCUAUCUCCAUGGAAAAAGGUUUCAAAUGAGUUUGAGCUCAUGAAAUUAAAAGUUUAUGAAAGAGUUUGGUUAUCGAGACAAAACAGACCAAUCAUCCAGCUCUCCUUAAUGGUCUUGCUGGAAAACUGCCUUUUUCAACGUACAGAAGUGUAUUGUUUGCUGACCUGAAUGUUUUCAGUAUAACAGAUAGAAAAUAAGCACUGCUACAACUAACAGCAUCACAGGCAUGCCUUGGGCAGUAAGGACAAGCAAAUUCUUUAACGAGAUCAGCUCGUGCACAACCUGAUGUUUUGGGAAGGUCUCAGUGGAUGUUUUCUACUGAAAGACAGCUUGGAUUCUAGGCAAACUGGUUGGCAGAGUACACUGAACAAGACCAGAGAUGAACCCCACAACCAUUAUCAGCUAUUCCAAUAGGUUAAAAAAAACAAAAACAAACAAAAACAUUAAACAAAGAAACCCAAAUGAGAAAAAAAAGCACAGAUUCCACUCUUUGUUCAGAAGAGCUUUAAAAGCUCCUAUUAUCUGUUACAUGAGCAUUAACCCUUACUUCCUGUGUCUAUCUUUCCUGGAAUAUAAUAUACAUGGCCUUUUUGCAGCUGCAAUAAAGCUCCAAAAAUCAAGUAGGGUUAAGAUCUUAAGCACAUACAGCUUGGCUUAUUCCUUCCAUGCAGUCUGUUAAGGUGGUCAGAGGGCUGAACGACUACAUCAGAAGACUGACCUCAUAGAGUGAGCUUUGCAGCAUUAAAACAAACUGUGCCUCUCUUUCCCACAGAACUCUCUGCAAGCGUUCAUUUAUUCUUAAGCAUCACCUUUUUUGACAGUUGAGGUAUACUAACCUGGAUAGUAAACUUUUUUGCCAUCAGUCUUGUAUACAACCAUAGUAAUAAAUUCCCUAUUGUGUGCAAAGUCAUCCUAUAAAAAAAAAACCAAAACAAAUGGAGUUAUAAGCUUCUGUGGAAUAUAACUAGCAUUUAAUCUAAAUCAAACACACAUUCUCCCACUCUUUUGAUCACCACAUGCUAUGGUCCGAUAGUUGCGUUUAUCUUUUUAAAUGUCUGAAUUAAACCAACUACCACUAAUUCAACUGAAAAGAAGUUCAGGCCCUUGGGAGUCAGAAUUACUUUGGUACUCUUAUGGUGGAAUAUAAUCCCCUCACUCAAUUUUUACACUGGGUCUCUCUCGACCAUCUUGUAAGCAGGUAACCGUACUGCUGAUUUAAAGUUUAUGCAUAUACAUGCACACAUACCUGGAACAUGCAACAUAAUACUGUUUAUAUUUACAUCACAGACAGAUACUACAGAGCUCAGAAUAUGGAAAGCACAAGGAGAGAACUCCCACCUUAUCUGUGAUGUGUCUACUCAGCAGCACCCAGACCACAGCUCCACCCUGUGGGCACUGCACCUCCAGCUUGUACUGCGGGUUGUUGGCCAGGCUGUAGGCAUCCUUCACCGGGCCUUGCUUUGCAUCCCAAGUACUAGGAGCAAUGCAGACAUUUCAGCAGAUCAGAUUUGAAAACAAAGAGACUUAUACUUCUCUAACUGUAGGAUGCUUCAUAUGAGCUGUUAUGUCCAAAAGCUUGCUUUUUUUUUUUCCUCCCUCCCUCCUCCUCUACAGACUUCAGGUACACUUUUGAAUAAAAAUUAACCUGCUUAAUGUUUGGAAAGGUGCUUGGUACCUUGAGGUAUCUGAUUACCAAACCUGCCUUGGGAACUGUCUAGACAAGGAAAACAUGGGGGAAAAAAAAUGGUGCUGACGACAGCACAAAGCAUGACACACAGGGAACAGAAACGGAUAAAACUAUUUGUGUCAUUGACACUCCCCACCCCUUUGAACUGAAUAGCAUUUGUGAAUGGCUGCAUUAUUAACUAAGCUUCAAUUUAUCUCUGUUAUUAUUGCCACUAUUUAGGGCAGUUAUCACUGUGCUAGACACUGCCCUACACAGAGGUAUGACAAUCAUUAAUAAUACAAGGAAAUACAGAGUAGAAGAUGACUGAAUGUGUAUGUUCAUCUCAGAGACCAUUUUGCUACAUCAUGACAGCCCAUUUUGGAGUCAAUCUGAACACAAAGGUGGAAAGAGCCUUUACAGACAAAUUGAGAAGUUGUACUAUUGAUGAUGGAGCUCGUGCAGAGCUAACUUAUACAGAAGCCAUGUGGAAGCAGGGGUGAAGUGUGAUAUACUGCACCAGAGAAACAAAUAAACUUCCAGAAACAGAGGCACUUGUCUUCUAACUGGGUUAGAAAAAGACUGAAUGAGAUGAAUACUAGGAGAGAGACAGGUGUCGUGUUCAAAUAAAUUGAUGGCUAGAGAAGAUAACAUACAAUUGGUGAGAAAUGGACUUUGACUCCUACGGCAUGAGCAAACACACCUUGUAAAGACAACAUGCACUGCACAAAUGGCUUGGAACUGCCAAGUAAAAUGAAUUCCAAGUAAAAGUUAGGACACUGAAGCACUGCCUAGUGACUGAGUAAACUAACACCAACUGUGCAAAAUCUGAUUUCUAUUCCAAUACAGAGAUGUGGUACUGAGGUCAGCAUCCACUUACACAACCUUAGGCCCACAGUAUCACCACAAAGAUCACAGGAGUUUCAACAAUGUUAUGGAAAAACUCAAAACAAAAGCCUGGGCUCAGAAUUUAGAAUUGGGAAGUUGGACUCCAACCAUGCUCUUUAACCCAACCUUUUCAGCAGUGAGAAAAAAAAAAUGGAAGAAAGGAAGCACCUCAUCAAGACAUUCAGCGUUACACUGACACAAAAGUUGUUCUCUUGGACCAACCUGUGAAUACAUGUAGAUUCUUUAAAAAGACCUGGAUUCCAACUCAAAUAAAUAACAUCAUAGUACUGGCACAGGUCCUCCCAGGCAAUCCAGAAAAUCCCUAAAAAGGAAGUGCUGUUAUUGUUUGCUUACCAGAAAUGUUUAAUUUACUCAUUUUUCAAGAGUCCCUUUCCAGGCAAAUAAUACAGCUGAUAUAAAUCCCAAAUUUAUAUGAAACAGAGUAGUAACAUCUGCACUGCCUACAUUCCUGAAGUUAAACUUAACCCACAAAGCAAACAAGUUAAACCAAGAAAGAUUUUUAACUACCAGACUCUACGGAUGCACUAAUUCCUUACUAAAUGGAUCUAUGUAAAUAAUGAGCUAAUCUCUCCUAACUACCAAAAGCCAGGCCUACUAUUCUUACAUACUGCAUGAAGUUCGUAAUAAAAUGGUAAAAUCUAAUGCACUUGGAUGCAUACUGUUGUUGAAAUGAAGUGGCAUUAAACAAAAGGGUUUCCUCACUUACUCCACCUGUUUCUUGUGCUCAAGUGUUUCUUUCCACCUUUCGGCAGGGAUAAACCACCAAGGUCUGCAUUAUUUGAAUAUAUAGUGACUUUCUAUGCCUUAUUACCGUUGUCUAUUUUCUGAGCUGUUCUUGGAUCAAAGUUCAAGUAUUUUUGUAAAUCUGGGGUCCAACUUCUUGUGUCAUUUUCACUGUAUCGUCCCUUCCAACGUAAGUGGCUCCAUGGAUUUUUCAACUGGAGGAAUCUAAGCCCCUGAAAAAACACAGGAUAAAACUGCUGGAUUCACCUUAUCAAGGUUAUUUCUCUAUUUAUAUGAACAUGGAAUAGUGAUCAGCAUCUUUAUGAAAUACAGCAUCAUUAAGCUUUCCAGAAUUUCCCAGUUUUUGAAGACAAAAUAAACUAAAGAUCAGUAGCAACCCAUCUUAGACAAAGGUUUCAAGCUGGUAUCUGAACAAAAUGUUCAGUUUUACUUGGUACCUUAUGUUCUCUUAUAUCCAAGACUGCGUAGGCAUGGGUUGGAACUAAACCCCAUUUUUCUCCUUCCUCUUCAGACAUCACACCUGUUGCUGUUGUGAUAAGGACAUCUCCCUUAUGAAAUCUGUUAAAAAAAAAAGUAACAUUUUAAUUAAGCUAUUUUUAACAGCUGCAAACUAACAUUUGACAGAUACUGCAGUAGUAUGUUUGUACAUUGUUAGUAUGAUCCUACUUUAUAGGAAUACAGGUUGUUUAUUGUAAGCAGAAAUCAGACCUGAAGAUACUUCAGAACACAGAACUAUUUUCUUCCAGUAUUUCAGUACAGACUGAAUGUGAUAUAGAAGGUUAUUGUCAUUACAACAUAAAAAUAAGCAUUUGUCAUUCUAAAAUUCAAUCUGCGUCAUUUAUUAAAAAUUCUCCUCACAGAUCUUCAGCUGAACACAGAAAUGGUUUCAUCAACACUUACUUAAAUCACUGCAUACAGUGAAU